UACGUAGGUGGCGAGCGUUGUCCGGAUUUACUGGGCGUAAAGAGCGCGCAGGCGGUCGUCCAAGUCGCGUGUGAAAGCCCCGGCUCAACUGGGAGGGUCACGCGAUACUGGUCGACUCGAAGGCAGGAGAGGGUAGUGGAAUUCCCGGUGUAGUGGUGAAUGCGUAGAGAUAGUGGAGGAACACCGAUGGCGAAGGCAGCCUUCUGGCCAACACUGACGCUCAUGCACGAAGCGUGGGAGCAAACAGG
rnacentral:rRNA from 1 species